rnacentral:snRNA from 1 species
GUCUAAGUAGCAGUGGCAGUGUCGUAGCCAAUGAGGUUAAUCCGAGGCGCGAUUAUUGCUAAUUGAAAACUUUUCCAUUUGCCUCUUGGAAGCUGAGGGUGUGAGAAAGGAGGCCUUACUU